rnacentral:rRNA from 1 species
UACAGAGGUGGCAAGCGUUGUUCGGAAUUACUGGGCGUAAAGCGCGUGUAGGCGGCAGCGUAAGUCGGGCGUGAAAUCCCACGGCUCAACCGUGGAAGUGCACUCGAAACUGCGCAGCUAGAGUCCUGGAGAGGAAGGUGGAAUGCUUGGUGUAGAGGUGAAAUUCGUAGAUAUCAAGCGGAACACCGGUGGCGAAGGCGGCCUUCUGGACAGUGACUGACGCUGAGACGCGAAAGCGUGGGGAGCAAACAGG